CGGGUGAGUAACGCGUGGAUAACCUGCCUUGCACUGGGGGAUAACACUUAGAAAUAGGUGCUAAUACCGCAUAAGCGCACAGAGCCGCAUGGCUCAGUGUGAAAAACUCCGGUGGUGUAAGAUGGAUCCGCGUCUGAUUAGCUAGUUGGCGGGGGUAGAAGCCCACCAAGGCGACGAUCAGUAGCCGGCCUGAGAGGGUGAACGGCCACAUUGGGACUGAGACACGGCCCAAACUCCUACGGAAGGCAGCAG
rnacentral:rRNA from 1 species